GAUGAACGCUGGCGGCGUGCCUAAUACAUGCAAGUCGAGCGAACGGACGAGAAGCUUGCUUCUCUGAUGUUAGCGGCGGACGGGUGAGUAACACGUGGAUAACCUACCUAUAAGACUGGGAUAACUUCGGGAAACCGGAGCUAAUACCGGAUAAUAUUUUGAACCGCAUGGUUCAAAAGUGAAAGACGGUCUUGCUGUCACUUAUAGAUGGAUCCGCGCUGCAUUAGCUAGUUGGUAAGGUAACGGCUUACCAAGGCAACGAUGCAUAGCCGACCUGAGAGGGUGAUCGGGCACACUGGAACUGAGACACGGUCCAGACUCCUACGGGAGGCAGCAGUAGGGAAUCUUCCGCAAUGGGCGAAAGCCUGACGGAGCAACGCCGCGUGAGUGAUGAAGGUCUUCGGAUCGUAAAACUCUGUUAUUAGGGAAGAGCAUAUGUGUAAGUAACUGUGCACAUCUUGACGGUACCUAAUCAGAAAGCCACGGCUAACUACGUG
rnacentral:rRNA from 1 species